rnacentral:rRNA from 1 species
UACGUAGGCAGCGAGCGUUGUUCGGAGUUACUGGGCGUAAAGGGUGUGUAGGCGGUUGUCUAAGUUUGUCGUGAAAUCUCCCGGCUUAACUGGGAGGGUGCGGCGAAAACUGGAAUACUAGAGGAUGGGAGAGGUAAGCGGAAUUCCUGGUGUAGCGGUGAAAUGCGUAGAUAUCAGGAGGAACACCUGUGGUGUAGACAGCUUACUGGACCAUUUCUGACGCUGAGACACGAAAGCGUGGGUAGCAAACAGG